rnacentral:misc_RNA from 1 species
GGAGGGGUGGGCUUCGGGAUAGCCGGCGACGGCGAUGCCGAAAUAGUCGCCGUGGCGGGCACGGAUGUGGCGGACGAGAUCGAGGGCGCAGGUGAGCUCGUCGGGGUGGGGAGUGUGGUUGGGGGGGAUGUCGCCGCGGAGGGCGACGAUGUUGUGGACGCCAAGGGAGCGGGCGGUGUCGAGGGCGUCGUCGAGCUGAGCGAUGGGCAUGUUGACGCAGGUGAGGUGGAGCAUGGUGUCGAUGUUGAGGGAGUUCUGCAUGCGGGCGGCGAGGUCGAGGGUCAUCGGAGGGUAGGCGUCGGUGGGGCGCCAGGUGAUGUCGCAGAAGGAGGGGCCGUGGGAGGCCAUUUGAGUGACGGUGGAGAUGAAGGUGUCGGUGAGGGCGGCCUUGGAGGUGACAUUGGCGCGGGGUUUGGGGGUGAAGAACUCGAAGGAGUAGACGACACGGCCAUCGUCGGCGGCGGCAAUCUUGUCGAUC